rnacentral:lncRNA from 1 species
ACUUAAACUGCUCUAUGCCUCAGUUCUUUCAUCUGUAAAUGGGAAUAAUAGAUAUACCUCUAGGACUGUGAUGAUGAGAUAAUAGGUACAAAGUGCUUUGAAGAAUGACACACAGGAUUAAAUUAGUGUUAGCUAUUAUGUUGGUAUGUAGGAAGACGGAGAGGGCAGAGACAAGGUGCAAAAUGUAUUGGGUACUUCCCAGAAUAUAGUUGGUCCCUCAUGAGGCAAUUCAUUUGGGGCAAGUUCUGGACUGCCCCUUUCUGACUAGAAAUUGGUUGAAAUCAGAAAUUUCAUCAGGGCAGUAGUACUAAGAAGUUGUGUUUUCUAUAUCUCUGAAUAGGUUUCUCAAAAAUGUCUUGGACAGGAGUUUGCACUAGUCUUCAGCAGCCAUCUCACAUCACUUUUUUGUCUGAUUUGAAUUUAGGAAAUGGCUCACAUUUCAUGAAGUUCCUUGAAGACAUGAACCGAAGCUGAAAAUCAGGACCUGAUAUAAAGUACUGUACAGUAUGAUUUGAUUAAAAACUGAGCAUAGAAGUAGCAGUCCAUGGUCUUAACUCAUCCAUUAGCUUGUCACCAAGUCUGAGCUUCUUAAUAUAUUGGCAAUAUUGCAACUCAAUAGUAUUUUUAAGCAUAAAAGAAAACAGGUGUCUAUUCAGAUAGUGGAGGCAGUUUACUUCAGAACCUCAGGGACACUCACUAAAGCAUCCAACAGCAAUUUUCUUAGAAUUCAAAAAUAAUGCUGAAUUAUAAAACAUGGAUGUGUCAAGUACAUUUUUUCAAAUGGUGUGAAAAAGAGGAGUGAAGUACAUCCCAUCCCAUUAAAAAUGUCCAUAUCUAUAAGUAAACAGCAGAGGUCAUUGCUGUAUCUCCAUAUAUCUAGGAUGUCUUUUGCAACAUCCCUUAAUAUCUAUGGGCCCCAUGCUUAAAGAUAUUUAUUUACCUAUGAAACCCCAUGAUGAAAUUACUGGAAAUUUUUUCUUACCUUUAGUUUUCUUUUCUCCAUCUCUUAUAUGUUCUGGGUUUUUCUAGCUGAGAUUGAGGAGCUCAAGAUCACUUCACUGCUGUUAGAGGACUACCAAGUACCUUGUGAUUCUGAAGCCUUUUAGUUAGGAGCCAAAACAAAGUUAACUGACCAC